rnacentral:sRNA from 1 species
CCCAGCGCUAGCGCGCUGGGCUAUCAUCUGGUGCCCCUACGGGGCU